rnacentral:rRNA from 1 species
GAUGAACGCUAGCUAUAGGCUUAACACAUGCAAGUCGAGGGGAAACGGCAUUAUGUGCUUGCACAUUUUGGACGUCGACCGGCGCACGGGUGAGUAUCGCGUAUCCAACCUGCCCUUUACUUGGGGAUACCCCGUUGAAAGACGGCCUAAUACCCGAUGUAAUUCAUUGAUGGCAUCAGAUAUGAAUAAAAGAUUUAUCGGUAAAGGAUGGGGAUGCGUCUGAUUAGCUUGUUGGUGAGGUAACGGCUCACCAAGGCGACGAUCAGUAGGGGUUCUGAGAGGAAGGUCCCCCACAUUGGAACUGAGACACGGUCCAAACUCCUACGGGAGGCAGCAGUGAGGAAUAUUGGUCAAUGGGCGCAAGCCUGAACCAGCCAAGUAGCGUGCAGGAAGACGACCCUAUGGGUUGUAAACUGCUUUUAUACGAGAAUAAUUUGAUGCACGUGUGCGUUAUUGCAUGUAUCGUAUGAAUAAGGACCGGCUAAUUCCGUG